UCCCUUUUAUGUUGUCCCUGGAUUUAAUCCUUUUUAUUUAUGUCGUUUGGAGGAAAGCAAGUUGUGUUUUCUGUUUUAGUUUUAAUAGCGUUAGAUAGACCAAUCAAUGUAUUAUUGUGUUAAGUUGUUUUUAAUUAAUAAAAGGAUAACGUGCUGCUGUAUUUUGGGGUAAUACAUUUUUGCCCGUUUGGAUUGUUGGAGGAG